rnacentral:rRNA from 1 species
AGGACAAACGCUGGCGGCGUACCUAAGACAUGCAAGUCGAACGGAUUGCGUAUCUUCGGAUGUGCAGUGAGUGGCGAACGGGUGAGUAACGCGUAGGAACCCGCCUCGACGUGGGGGAUAACACUUGGAAACAGGUGCUAAUACCGCAUGUGGUCGAGAGAAGAAAGGCUUGAGCAAUCAAGUCGCGUUGAGAGGGGCCUGCGUCCGAUUAGCUAGUUGGUGGGGUAACGGCUUACCAAGGCGACGAUCGGUAGC